rnacentral:rRNA from 1 species
AGCGAACGCUGGCGGCAGGCCUAACACAUGCAAGCCGAACGAACCCUUCGGGGUUAGUGGCGGACGGGUGAGUAACACGUGGGUACGUGCCUUUAGGUUCGGAAUAACUCAGGGAAACUUGUGCUAAUACCGAAUGUGCCCUUCGGGGGAAAGUUUUAUCGCCUUUAGAGCGGCCCGCGUCUGAUUAGCUAGUUGGUGAGGUAAUGGCUCACCAAGGCUACGAUCAGUAGCUGGUCUGAGAGGAUGACCAGCCACAUUGGGACUGAGACACGGCCCAAACUCCUACGGGAGGCAGCAGUGGGGAAUCUUGCGCAAUGGGCGAAAGCCUGACGCAGCCAUGCCGCGUGGAUGAUGAAGGUCUUAGGAUUGUAAAAUCCUUUCACCGGUGAAGAUAAUGACUGUAGCCGGAGAAGAAGCCCCGGCUAACUUCGUGCCAGCCGCCGCUGUAAAAC